rnacentral:rRNA from 1 species
AUUGAACGCUGGCGGCAUGCCUUACACAUGCAAGUCGAACGGCAGCACGGGUGCUUGCACCUGGUGGCGAGUGGCGAACGGGUGAGUAAUACAUCGGAACAUGUCCUGUAGUGGGGGAUAGCCCGGCGAAAGCCGGAUUAAUACCGCAUACGAUCUACGGAUGAAAGCGGGGGACCUUCGGGCCUCGCGCUAUAGGGUUGGCCGAUGGCUGAUUAGCUGGUUGGUGGGGUAAAGGCCUACCAAGGCGACGAUCAGUAGCUGGGCUGAGAGGACGACCAGCCACAAGGGGACUGAGACACGGCCCAGACUCCUACGGGAGGCAGCAGUGGGGAAUUUUGGACAAGGGGCGAAAGCCUGAUCCAGCAAGGCCGCGUGUGUGAAGAAGGCCUUCGGGUGGUAAAGCACUUUUGUCCGGAAAGAAAUCCUUGGCCCUAAUACGGUCGGGGGAUGACGGGACCGGAAGAAUAAGCACCGGCUAACUACGG